rnacentral:rRNA from 1 species
UAGCGUGCGGAUGGCAAAAACACGCAAGUCGAACGAACCCCUCGGGGUGAGUGGCGAAAGGGCGAGUAACGCGAUCGAACGUAUCCCGAGGUUGGGGAUAGCGUCGGGAAACCGGCGGUAAUACCCAAUGUGCUCUCCGGAGGAAAGGCUUGCUGCCUUGGGAGCGGCGAUCGUCCUAUCAGGUAGUUGGUGAGGUAACGGCUCACCAAGCCGAAGACGGGUAGCGGGUGUGAGAGCAUGACCCGCCGCAUCGGGACUGAGACACUGCCCGGACUCCUACGGGAGGCUGCAGUAACGAAUCUUCCGCAAUGGGCGCAAGCCUGACGGAGCAAUGCCGCGUGUGGGAUGAAGCUGUUUCGCAGUGUAAACCACUGUCAGGGUCUAGUACCAACGAACAGACCCAGAGGAAGGGCCGGCUAAUUCCGUGCCAGCAGCCGCGGUAAUACGGAAGGCCCGAGCGUUAAUCGGAAUCACUGGGCUUAAAGCGUGCGCAGGCGGACUUGAAGGCAUCUCGUGAAAGCCCACAGCUCAACUGUGGAAUUGCGGGGUGAACCACUUGUCUCGAGGCAGGUAGGGGUCAACGGAACUAUGGGUGGAGCGGUGAAAUGCGUAGAUAUCCAUGGGAACGCCAAUGGCGAAGGCAGUUGACUGGGCCUGUCCUGACGCUCAGGCACGAAAGCGUGGGUAGCGAACGGGAUUAGAUACCCCGGUAGUCCACGCCGUAACGAUGCACACUAGGUCGGGGAAGUUCUCACGCUCUCCCGGCCGAAGGAAAACUAUUAAGUGUGCCGCCUGGGGAGUACGGUCGCAAGGCUAAAACUCAAAUGAAUUGACGG